GCCUGCCUCAUUCGUACGAACACGCCAUCACGCCCGUCUCUUCUCCGCGCUCACUCGCCCUUCCUCGUCCACUCCUAUAGCUUGGUUGCCCUCGGCGAAGAGCUCGCCACGGACGGCGGCAUUGCCACCAAGCGGAGCUCCACGACCGCGACCUUACCAUCCGCCUCCAACUAAGUUGCUUCACAUUGUCUUCCUCAUCGUACGUCGAAGCUUCGACGUCUCCUCCCGAGCUCGACAAACCCCACACGCCACCAUCGACGUCUCAGCGCUUCGGUUCCCGCCGGCACGCGUGGACCGAGCACCUCCGUCUUUCUCCUGCCGCCCUGAGCUCGUCAACGAGGCCGCCUUCACCCACCGUCGCUUGUCGUAAACUCGCCCAGCAAUUUCUGCCACCGAUGGCCAGAUGUACUACGGGUACCGUGAGCACUGCCUAUACCCGGCUACAGGAGAUGACUAGGCCUAGGGCAGGGCUUCUCCAUUCUCGUCUCAUGCUUUUGGUGGGUUGGCAUACCCAAAUGUUGGCAUAGUAUUUCGAAAACCUCGCAAGUGAUGUGGGUGCUAGUUAAAUAAAUGCUUCUGCUAAACUUAUCACUUCGGUGAUUGCUACUUGGAGUUAUUUGGGGCCUGCGUGCCAUCCAUGUUGUAAUAACCCUAUGUACUCCGAUUUAUGUUAAACCCUGUGGAAUGUUGUAACACUUGAUGCAGUAAAUGUCAGUUCAUUACGAUCUUGGUUGCGAA